UACAGAGGGUGCAAGCGUUAAUCGGAAUUACUGGGCGUAAAGCGUGCGUAGACGGUUAUGUAAGUCAGAUGUGAAAGCCCCGGGCUUAACCUGGGAAUGGCAUUUGAGACUGCAUAGCUAGGGUGCGGAAGAGGGAAGCGGAAUUUCCGGUGUAGCGGUGAAAUGCGUAGCUAUCGGAAGGAACACCAGUGGCGAAAGCGGCUUCCUGGUCCAGCACCGACGUUCAGGCACGAAAGCGUGGGGAGCAAACAGG
rnacentral:rRNA from 1 species